rnacentral:rRNA from 1 species
GACGUAGGGCGCGAGCGUUGUCCGGAUUUAUUGGGCGUAAAGAGCUCGUAGGCGGUCUGUCGCGUCGGUCGUGAAAACUUGGGGCUUAACCCUGAGCUUGCGGUCGAUACGGGCAUGACUGGAGUUCGGCAGGGGAGACUGGAAUUCCUGGUGUAGCGGUGAAAUGCGCAGAUAUCAGGAGGAACACCGGUGGCGAAGGCGGAUCUCUGGGCCUGUUCUGACGCUGGAGGCGCGAAAGCUAGGGGAGCGAACAGG